CGGCGAGUGAAGCGGGAACAGCUCAAAUUUGAAAUCUGGCCCUCGGGUCCGAGUUGUAAUUUGUAGAGGAUGCUUUUGGUGCGGUGCCUUCCGAGUUCCCUGGAACGGGACGCCUUAGAGGGUGAGAGCCCCGUACGGUUGGACGCCUAGCCUCUGUAAAGCUCCUUCGACGAGUCGAGUAGUUUGGGAAUGCUGCUCUAAAUGGGAGGUAUAUUUCUUCUAAAGCUAAAUACUGGCCAGAGACCGAUAGCGCACAAGUAGAGUGAUCGAAAGAUGAAAAGCACUUUGAAAAGAGGGUUAAAUAGCACGUGAAAUUGUUGAAAGGGAAGCGUUUAUCACCAGACUUUUUCUAGGGGGAUCAUCCGGUGUUCUCACCGGUGCACUUCCCCUGGUUGAGGCCAGCAUCGGUUUUCGGAGGGGGAUAAAAGCUUCGGGAAUGUGACUCCCUCGGGAGUGUUAUAGCCCGUUGCAUAAUACCCUUCUGGGGACCGAGGUUCGCGCAUCUGCAAGGAUGCUGGCAUAAUGGUGAUCAACGACCCGUCUUGAAACACGGACCAAGGAGUCGAACAUUUAUGCGAGUGUUUGGGUGUCAAACCCUCACGCGUAAUGAAAGUGAACGGAGGUGAGAGCCCUUACGGGUGCAUCAUCGACCGAUCCUGAUGUCUUCGGAUGGAUUUGAGUAAGAGCAUA
rnacentral:ncRNA from 3 species